GACGUACAGGUUUGUAGAUUAAUUGGCUUGGUAUAAAUGUAAAUUGUCCCUAGUGUGUAUAGGAUAGUGUUAAUGUGCAGGGAUCGCUGGCCGGUGCAGACUCGGCGGGUCGAAGGGUCUGUUUCCGCGCUGUAUCUCUAAACUAAAACUAAACUCUCAGGUAAGCUUGCACAAUACAUCACCAAUGGAAGAUAUUACUCUCAGAUAUGUGGUAGGUUGAUGCAUCAAGUAAUUUUAUAAAACAACGUUUCUCCAACAUAAUAUGUUAUGGAAUACUUGUUUAUAUUGUGCUUCUUCUUGUCCGUUCUGAAUGCUGUGGGGAUUAUUAUAUAUGUAAAAUGUAAACUUAUUCCUACUAUAAAAUAAUCAAAGGACUUAUUAAAAUUAUUGGUGAGUGUUAACUUUUAACUAUAACGAAGAAGAUGAUAGGGAAUAUUCUGCACUGUCUUUGGCAAUUGUAAAUCUGCCCAUCAUUUUACAUUUUUGUAAUAAUCUGCAUGAUUUAAGGGAGUGGAAUUGAGAAAUUAUUUGUAUCACAACCGUACCAUCCCCUGGGGUCCUUUUCCAAUUCUCAUUGUUCCGGUAAUGUUGAAAUAACCCAGAUGAACCGGUUGGACAUAUUGCUGGGGGAGUUAUCAAUUGGCCUUUUAUCACCAACCACUCCCAUCUGACUCAUGGACCACCUGCUAAUCAACCCAAUUGCAACAGAAUAAUUGCUUUGUUAUAUAACUACAUAAUUUUGAAUGUCAGCCUACCAACCAUGUUCCUUGUACACUUAAUUGAAUAAAGGAAUUCAAGGGAUUCUUUUCAUUUUUUUCCCCUUACUGACAAGGUUGGGCAGUGUUAGAGUUGCUGCCUUACAGCGUCAGAGACCCAGGUUC